GACGAACGUUGGCGGCGUGCUUAAUACAUGCAAGUCCACUGAAGCAGUGGUAGCAAUAUCGCUGUGGAGGUGGCGCACGGGUGAGUAACACGUAGGUAAUCUGCCUUCAGGUCUGGCAUAACUCCGGGAAACCGGGGCUAAUAGCAGAUGAUGCAGCGGCUCGACAUCGAGACAGUUGUUAAAGCUAUGGCGCCUGAAGAUGAGCCUGCGUCUGAUUAGCUAGUUGGCGGGGUAACGGCUCACCAAGGCAACGAUCAGUAGCUGGUCUGAGAGGAUGAUCAGCCACACUGGAACUGAGACACGGUCCAGACUACUACGGGAGGCAGCAGUAAGGAAUAUUGCUCAAUGGGAGAAAUCCUGAAGCAGCAACGCCGCGUGAGGGACGAAGGGCUUUGGCUUGUAAACCUCUGUAGUGAGAGAAAAAAAUCCCAAUCUUUGGGACAUGAUGGUAUCUCAAAAGUAAGCCCCGGCUAACUACGUG
rnacentral:rRNA from 1 species